rnacentral:rRNA from 1 species
CCUACGGGGGGCAGCAGUGAGGAAUAUUGGUCAAUGGGCGCGAGCCUGAACCAGCCAAGUCGCGUGAGGGAAGACGGUCCUAUGGAUUGUAAACCUCUUUUGUCGGGGAGCAAAAGACGCCACGCGUGGCGUUCCGAGAGUACCCGAAGAAAAAGCAUCGGCUAACUCCGUGCCAGCAGCCGCGGUAAUACGGAGGAUGCGAGCGUUAUCCGGAUUUAUUGGGGUUAAAGGGUGCGCAGGCGGAAGAUAAAGUGAGCGGGAAAAUUGAGAGGCUCAACCUCUUCGAGCCGUUGAAACUGGUUUUCUUGAGUGAGCGAGAAGUAUGCGGAAGGCGUGGUGUAGCGGUGAAAUGCAUAGAUAUCACGCAGAACUCCGAUUGCGAAGGCAGCAUACCGGCGCUCAACUGACGCUCAUGCACGAAAGUGUGGGUAUCGAACAGGAUUAGAUACCCUAGUAGUC